rnacentral:rRNA from 1 species
UGAAUACGAGAUGCUACGGCGUCGAAGCAGUGUAUGUCAGACUUCCAAGAAAAGCUCGCAAUGUCAUAAAUAAAGAAUGCCUGUACCAUAACCGACACAGGUGGGUAGGUAGAGUAUACUAAGGGGCGCGAGAUAACUCUCUCUAAGGAACUCGGCAAAAUAACUCCGUAACUUCGGGAGAAGGAGUGCCUUCUUUAAGAAGGUUGCAAUAACAAGAUCCAAGCAACUGUUUAUCAAAAACACAGGUCUCCGCUAAGUCGUAAGACGAUGUAUGGGGGCUGACGCCUGCCCAGUGCCAGAAGGUUAAGGAAGUUGGUUAGCUUUUGCGAAGCUGAUGACUGAAGCCCUGGUGAACGGCGGCCGUAACUAUAACGGUCCUAAGGUAGCGAAAUUCCUUGUCGGGUAAGUUCCGACCCGCACGAAAGGCGUAAUGAUUUGGAUACUGUCUCGGAGAGGGACUCGGUGAAAUAGACUUGUCUGUGAAGAUGCGGACUACCUGCACCAGGACAGAAAGACCCUAUGAAGCCUUACUGUAACUUGAAAUUGAAAUUGGACUUUAUUUGCGCAGUAUAGGUGGAAGGCGUUGAAAGUAAUCUUGCGGGAUUAGUGGAGCCAUCAGUGAGAUACCACUCCUAUAAUGUUAGAUUUCUAACUUUGGAUCAUGAUCUGGUCAAAGAACAGUUUCAGGCGGGCAGUUUGACUGGGGCGGUCGCCUCCCAAAUGGUAACGGAGGCGUACAAAGGUUUCCUCUGAACGGGUAGAAAUCGUAUCUAGAGUGUAAAGGCAUAAGGAAGCUUGACUGUGAGACCUACAAGUCGAGCAGGGACGAAAGUCGGUCUUAGUGAUCUGACGGUGCUGAGUGGAAAGGCCGUCACUCAACGGAUAAAAGUUACUCUAAGGAUAACAGGCUGAUCUCCCCCAAGAGUUCACAUCGGCGGGGAGGUUUGGCACCUUGAUGUCGGCUCAUCGCAUCCUGGGGCGGUAGUACGUCCCAAGGGUUGGCUGUUCGCCCAUGAAAGCGGUACGCGAGCUGGGUUCAGAACGUCGUGAGACAGUUCGGUCCAUAUCCGGUGUAGGCGUUAGAAUAUUGAGAGGAGCCUUCUUUAGUACGAGAGGACCGAGAAGGACAUACCUCUGGAGUACCAGUUAUCGUGCCAACGGUAAACGCUGGGUAGCUAUGUAUGGAGAGGAUAACCGCUGAAAGCAUCUAAGUGGGAAGCCCACCUCAAGAUGAGUAUUCUCU